GGGUGGUCAAAGAGGGGCAAGGGGAUGGAGACAGGGAAAUCAGGGUUAUAGGGGCAGGGGUAACCAAGGAGGAAUAGACAGGAACACUUGUUUCAACUGUGGCCACUGGAGGAAUGAGUGUCCACACCCCAGGAAACCCCACACACCCCACCAACCCCACAAUUCUCAAAAUAUGCCCGGUAGGCAAGAACAACACCAGACCCACUCCCAACACCACUGGCCAGCAUAUCGCUUAGUUCAGGACUUUAGAGCCCUGAAUAGUUUAAUUGUGCCCAUUUCACCCAUUGUCCCUGAUGUGACAUCCCUCAUUACAGCCAUUCCACAUGAUGCCACUUGCUUCACUGUCAUUGAUUUAAGUAAUGCAUUUUUUCUAUACCUAUUGAUCAAGAGACACAGCUACUUAUGGUUUUUACUUUUUGAAGGCUGUCAGUUUACCUGGACACGCUUACCCAAGGCUAUGUGGAUUCCCCAGCUGUUUAUUCGUUGGUACUCCAACAUACUCUAAAAAACAUGGACCACCGGUCAUGGUUCCGUCCUUUUUGCAAAAUGUUGAUGAUUUGUUGUUAUGUAGCCCUAGCUCUGAGGCAAGCACUGUGGAUACUGUCAGCAACUAUAGGUCACAAGGUUGUUAAACACAAAAUGCAAUUGUGUAAAUCAAAGGUUGAAUACUUAGGUUUUGUUCUGGCUUUAGGCAGCAGACAAUUGAGUCCAAAACGUAUUGAGGUCAUUCAGAGGAUUCCUACACCCACUACUCGGAAGGAGUUGCUCACCUUCCUCGGCAUGAUUAAUUACUGCCGCCAAUGGAUCCCUGAAUGCUCCCAUUAUGACUCAAUCCUAAGGGAGGCUGUACGUUCUGACAGCCCUGAAAAUGUCUGCUGGUCACCAGACAUGCUAGCUGCAUAUAUUGCCCUUACAGUUGUUAUUGUGCAAGCCCAGGCUUUAGGACUACCUGUGUAUUGUAAACCAUUUCAUUUGUAUGCUUGGGACAAUUGUAAAACCAUGGCCGCAGUCUGUGCACAAGAGCAAGGAGGCGGUAUGCAUCCCAUAGCAUUCUUUUCCAAAGUAGUUCGAGCUCCGGUACAGGGUAUGCCGGCGUGUCUCAGAGCAUUGAUAGCAUGUGCAAUGGCUGUUGAAACUGCUACUACUAUCACACUAGGACAUCCUACAAUACUUCAUGCCAGUCACCAGGUCACUCAGCUGAUGACAAAUCUCACCACACAACACAUGACAGCCCAGCGCUUCAGUGGUUAUGAGAUUCUUUUUUUAAUACCCAGAAUCUGUUUUUGGAUUAAACAAGGUUUAGAGAAAGAUCAAAAUGAUCUGUUCUCUAAAGAGGGGAGAAUAGGCAUACUUGAAGAAUAGGCAUACUUGAAGCAAGCUGCUUUAUUUUCAUCAGUCAGGCACAUAGCAAGCACCAUUCAAUUCCUCAUGAAUUCAUUUUAUAUUAGGAAUCUCAGGCAGCAUGUACAGUCUUUUGUAAGAUCGUGUGAACGCUGCUCUUUUUACACACUUACAGAUUGAUUUUAUUCAUGUAUCCAAAAUUGGUAAGAAACAGCAAUACUUACUGGUCAUAGUUAAUCAGUUUAGUAAGAUGGCAUGAUGCCUUUGUGACAUCUAGGGAAGAUGCUAGUGAAGAUUAUUGUUACUGAAAUUAUUCCCCGGUAUUGCUGCCCUCUGCAGAUUGGCUCUGAUAAUGGCCCGGUUUUUGCAAGUGGGGUUGCCCAGGAACUUGCUAAAUUCUUGCAAGUUACCUGGCAGUUUCAUAUACCCUAUCAUCCACAGAAUACAGGGGUAGUUGAAAGGAUGAAUAGGACUAUUAAGGAAAAGCCCAGAAUUUACCCAGGAACAUGGGUAAAUUGGACUAGAUAUCUACCAGCUAUUUUAGCUGAGAUAAGAAUGAAUCCCCACAAGGUGACUAAAUUAUCUCCAUCUGAGAUUUUUGAUGGGAUGACCUUUUCCCACACCCUGGGCCAGGGAACCGCUUGUUAUAAUGUCUGUGGAUUUACAGCUAAUACAAGAACAAUAUGUACAGGAAUUGUUGAUAAAACCGAAUGGUAUGUAUGACAAUGUUUCUUCGCAGUUUUCCCUUACCUUCACAGGAACCUACUCAUUCAUACCAGCCCGGUGACAAGGUGUAUAUCCGUCAGCUGAACAGGACCAAGAAAGGAGGAUACCCUUUUGGACCACCUGCUACUGUGAUUGCUGUACCCAGAACCGCUGUCCUCACAGAUUCCCACGACAUCUGGAUUCACGCAUCCCGAGUGAAGCUGUGUCCAAAGAGGGGAACCAAGGAAGACAACACCACUCCUCGCUCGGAAACAGAAGAAUUUCUCCUCAGCGAAGCAUCAUGGCUUUCACACCGUAUCGUAGAUUGAGAGGAUCAUACGUACCUGAGACCAAGAUUAUGUUGUGCGCUAUGCUUUCUGGAGUUGUUAUACUCCCUCUGAUAUUGUUCCUUGAAUGCCAUUAUGAGUACAAGUCAAUGGCAAGUUCUGGAAAAAAGACUCUGACAUGAUGAACAAUUCUUCAAUACCCCCAGCCCAAUUAGGCCUUAGCCCUCAUCUAGCAUUCGUCACACACGCCCCCUCAAGAACCUUUCUCCACCACCUUUCUAUCAGCAUGCAAUAUGCAAUCAUUCAUUCACUGAACGCAUUUGGAUGAAUUGGACAAAUAGUAACCCUUAUAAGUACCAGUUACCCAUAUGAAAUGUGUCUACAGCUAAUGAAACCGAUGCAUUAUGUUUGUUUGAAGGUUCACAGAAAAUUGUUAGAUCUUAUAACGCAGAAAUGUGCACAGUUAAGGUUGCAUAUCAAUGUAAAUAGACAGGCCUUAUUACUUUUAAUAAUGAUUAUAUAACUGGUAUCAUUAAUUGGAGAAGGGGACAAAUGUUAGUCAUUAUGAACAACACUACAAUUGAGAACUAUACACUACCUUAUAUUUUUACACCUUAUUACUGUCCUUCAUCCACUAUCAUAGAACCAAAAGUCAAACACGACACACACACACACCUAUUCCGUCCACAUGUGUUAAUACAACUGCCUUCUUACAAGCUGUACAUGUGUCAUUAAAAGUCACUACUCUUGUUGUAACAUUAUGUAAUACAACAAACAAAGGCAGAAAAGGGAAUGGUAUGACACACUGUUAGGAGGUGCUGGAACCACUAUGGGUAUACUAAAUAGUUAUAGAUAUGGAGACCCUCAAGAAUAAGUUAAAUACAGCCAGUAUGCAUAUAGGGACUGGUUUCCAUGCUACUGCAAACUGGGCUCCAAUUGUUGUUAAAUCACAGGUUAGAGGAUUGGAUUUAGAUAAAUCAAUGUAUAAUUAUUUAGAUAAUUUAACUGUUGCAACUAUGAAAUUCACUACAGGUCUAAGUAACUGGAGUACUUGUGCCAUCAGGUAUUUAUGGAUACAACAAGGAUUGGCAUUAGAAAACACACUAAUGAUUCCUAAACUAGAGAAGAUUAGAGGGAUGCUUAACCUCACAGAUAAUGAAUGGUUACUUCUAAAACCCCAAUCCACUAAAUGCAAUAGAUGGUUAACUGGUAAUGCUUCACAUUUUUUCAUGCUCAUGCUAUUUUACACUAUAUCAUACAUCAUCAAAGGAUGUUAAAUUAGCUUGUCAAUUUAACACAUUACCAGUACCAGUUUAUGAUCUUUUUGCUAAGAAUUUAACCUGGUGGGCACCCACAUACACAGGGGACUAUAUUUUUCCCAAAGAUAACACACACAGGUAGCCACACAUAUCCUAAAAGGAGAACUCCUUAAGGUGAGUUCACAAAUUCAGAAUGAUUUAGCCCAUCAUUGGUACGAUGCUUCACUGGUUGGUCCCCUACUGGAUCUCAGAUAAUGAAAUCAUUCUUCUAUCCUUUUGUUAUUAUAGUCCUGAUUUUAUUGUGUAUGGUUUUAUAUAACUGUCACCUUACUUGUACAUUGAGGAAGAGAGUACAGAAAUGAAUCCAUAAUGCAGAACAGAAACAAUUAGAAAUUCUCCUCUCUGCCACUGGAGGGUAUCAACCCAUCUUUAAACUGGGCCUUAGGAAUUACCACAUGGGAAUCGAGGUGAAGAAAUUAAUGAAAGUCCCGCAGGGAGUGACUAGCACCCCUGAAAAUACCAUGUGGAAGAUUCUCUGUCCUGGUAAGAUUUUAUCGAUAAGAUGAGCAAUUGUUUUAUUGCUCAAAGAGGGGAAUGUAAGAAUAUUAAAUAGUUAACUUGUUUAUAUGUAUUUUAUGCUUUUAUAAGGUUUAUAACAUGAUUAUUGCUGACUGAAGGGAUAUUGUACAUAAUAUGCUGACUGUGACAGACUAAGGUAUUUCUUCUAUAGGAUGUAAGACAAUGCUAAAUUUCAGGAUGUCUUGCCCAUUCCGAUUUUAAGGAUAUUCUUUUCCAGACGUG